UACGUAGGGGGCUAGCGUUGUCCGGAAUUAUUGGGCGUAAAGAGCUUGUAGGCGGUUUGUCGCGUCUGCCGUGAAAUUUCGAGGCUCAACCUCGAACUUGCGGUGGGUACGGGCAGACUAGAGUGUGGUAGGGGAGACUGGAAUUCCUGGUGUAGCGGUGAAAUGCGCAGAUAUCAGGAGGAACAUCGGUGGCGAAGGCGGGUCUCUGGGCCGGUA
rnacentral:rRNA from 1 species